UCAAAAAUGGCUCUGCUUACUGACCGUCCCUAGAGCAAGUGACAAAGGGCUUGGUGGUUGGUAUCCGAGACCCAAAUUCGAAUUCUAAUUGAUUCACAUUUCCAACUAAGUUUAUUUCUAAAUAAAAUAAACGAAGCGGGUAGCAUGCUACCUAUCUCUCUUAAAAAAAAAAAAAGUUAUUUAACCGACCAUCCCUAGAGCAAGUGGCAAAGGGCAUGGUGGUUGGUACCCGAGACCCAAGUACGAAGCCUAGUUGAUUCACAUUUCCAGCUAAGUUUAUUUCUAAAUGAAAUAAACGAAACGGGUAGCGUGUUACCUAUCUCUCUCAACAAAAAAAAAAAAAAAAGGCUCCGCAUUUGCUUCCAGUUUCAGC
rnacentral:lncRNA from 1 species